UUCCGGUUGAUCCUGCCGGACCCCACUGCUAUCGGGAUAGGACUAAGACAUGCUAGUCGCGUGCUUCAGCCAAUACGAGGCACGGCACACAGCUCAGUAACACGUGGCUAACCUGCCCUCGGGAUAGGAAUACCCCCGGGAAACUGGGGCUAAUUCCUAAUAGGCGAAGAACUCUGGAAUGAGUCUUCACUUAAAGGGCGCUAGAGUUAUGCUCUUUGGCGUUGCCCGAGGAUGGGGCCGCGACCGAUCAGGUUGUUGGUGAGGUAAUGGCUCACCAAGCCUUUUACCGGUGCGGGCCGUGGGAGCGGGAGCCCGGAGAUGGGCACUGAGACAAGGGCCCAGGCCCUACGGGGCGCAGCAGUCGCGAAAACUUUGCAAUAAGCGAAAGCUUGACAGGGCUAUCCCGAGUGCCAUCCGCUGAGGAAGGCUUUUACCCAGUCUAGAACGCUGGGGGAAUAAGGAGAGGGCAAGUCUGGUGUCAGCCGCCGCGGUAAUACCAGCUCUCCGAGUGGUGUGGAUGUUUAUUGGGCCUAAAGCAUCCGUAGCUGGCUAGGUUAGUCCCUUGUUAAAUCCACCGAAUUAAUCGUUGGGUUGCGGGGGAUACUGCUUGGCUAGGGGACGAGAGAGGCAGACGGUAUUUCCGGGGUAGGGGUGAAAUCCUAUAAUCCCGGGAAGACCACCAGUGGCGAAGGCUGUCUGCUAGAACGCGCCCGACGGUGAGGGAUGAAAGCUGGGGGAGCGAACCGGAUUAGAUACCCGGGUAGUCCCAGCUGUAAACGAUGCAAACUAGGUGUUUGGACGGCCACGUGCCGUUCUAGUGCCGCAGGAAGCUGUUAAGUUUGCCGCCUGGGGAGUACGAUCGCAAGAUUGAAACUUAAAGGAAUUGGCGGG
rnacentral:rRNA from 1 species